rnacentral:lncRNA from 1 species
UGGCAGUUAGGAGCUGUCUAGAUCUAGAAUAAUGCUUAGUAAAGAUUGAUUGUAUAACUUGCUUGCUAUUAAAACUUUAACUUAUGGUGCAUUUGGUUAGCCAUUAAAAAAAUAUUUUUUUUGCUUUUUGAUUUUUUAAAAAUAAAAAUCAAAAAAUAAUAUUUGAUAACAUCAUGAAAAGCAAAAAGUAAAAAUCAAAAUAAUCAAAAUAAUUAUUUUAUAUACAAAGC